UGAUUUUUCACAGGCUCGUCAGUGACUCUGUGUGGGUCAAAGAAGAUUAAGGGCCUCUGGAAAUUCAAAGGCUGAUUACAUCAAAUCCUAUCCCAGGAGCCAAGAAGGGAGUGUGCACCACAGCUCAAUAUUCUAUGCACAAGCCAGGAGCUUUUAGAUAAGCAUUUUGGGGGAGCUAACAGAAGGUGAGGGGUUUCCGUAAAGCCAUGACUUUAAAACAAAUCCUCCGAAGUACAGAGAGCUGAGCUCUGCUCACCACCUCCAAACCCAGCAGUUCCCUCCCUGAGGCUGUGGCCUGGCCCCAGUCUCAGCUCGGACACCCCAGCCACUGAUGGAAUCCAAUUCCUUCCGGCAGCCUCUGAGGGCCAGAAGAACUCAGAAAGGACAGCCUGGGAGGCUGAUCAUCUCCUGACUUGUCUUCAUUCCUGGUGCCUCCUCCAAGCUCUGCUAAAGAGAGAAUGACAGCUCAGCAGAGAGAGAGGAGCACUCUGCGAGGAUGGAAUCGAGAAGGCUGCCCCUGCAGCCCAACCCUGCUCAAGGCCUUCAGAAGGUCCCCUGGAGCUUGAAGUACCUGCAAAGAGCAGGAUCCUAGGAGCCAAAGGAGGUCUCAAGAGCGUGGACUGUUUUUCUCCGCUGCAGAGUCAUAGUCAUUGUGUUCCUAUUGUGUGUCAGACACACACUCAUUUAACCUCGCCACAGUCCAGCAAGGUGUGAUGCCUCUGGAAAUACCAGAAGACUUUUCCAGGAAUCUCCAAGCAUAGAGAAUGUUGAAGGAAUCAGCUCCCCACUCAUGGAUUUCUGAAUACCCUUUCCUCAACUUGUACCCAAGAACACUCCACGGUAUAGGCUGGCACGAUGACCUGGUGGCUGUCGUCUCCCACCUCCCCUUUCACAGCCAUCCCUUCCCCACCCUAUAAAAGAAAGACAUGCCCCUAACUCACCUCGAAUGUUGUGGCUUUGCCUCUGCAGCAUACAACAAGAAACUACAUGUGUCCAGAGGCCUCAUCGACUCAUGACACUAUAAAGCACCUAAUCCAGCUAAGACUUCACUUCCAAUGACAUUUAUGUUUUAUAUUUAGUUAACAGGUAUAAAAAUUUGCAAUAUGUAUAUUUUGCUCUGAUAAGUUGCAUAUUAAAAAUAAUUGUAAUAGCAAUCCAAUGCAGAAAACAAUGUUAACACUUAAUAGCCUUAAUAGAUAAGGGAAUUUAAAAAUUUAAAUUUCAAAUUAUAUGCAUAUUUUUGAUGCAGGAAUCCUCAAAGUAUGAUAGGGUGAAUAACAAAAAGAUUUUUAAGUGUAAAAAUAUGUUAAUUUAAAAUUCUGAAGGGGAAGAACAGUA
rnacentral:lncRNA from 1 species